AAACCUGUCUUGGGAAAGCAGCGCUAAUCCCCCUGGUCACAAAGCCUACAAGAAAUUCUAUUCUUAAUAGGUCUCGUGAAGCUAAUCUUAAUCAUGGUGAGUGCUUAUAUUCUAUGAUUCACUUAGCCGGGUUUUACAAAAAUUUAAUGAAUAAAUAAUUGAAAACUAAUUCUCUUGAGUUAAGAAACCAACAAUAUUCUUACUCAUCUUUUUAAUAAUUGGAAUUAUAAAUAAAACCAAUUAAAUCAUAAAUACUUUUUUAUUCAAUAAAUGAAGUCAUGUCAUGCUUAGCAUAUAUAAGUAAUUACUUAAAAUAUGCACUAAUAAUAAUUAAUAUUAUUAUAAAAUUAUCCUUUAAAUAAAUUAAUCAAACUAAUAAUAGUUAAUUAAUUAAAAAUAAGAAAGCCCAAUUUAAUUAAUAGGAGGCAGCCCACAAUUUUAAAUAAUUGAAGGUCCAACAUUCAUUUUAAUAAACUGAGCCCAAUUGAAAAUUAAUGGCCCAAUUGAUUUAAUAAGUAAAGGCCCAAACUGAAACAAAAAUAAAUAAAAACUCGGCCCAACACUCAAUUAAAAUCGGCCCAAGUCAAGCCACUGAAAAUUAAAUUAAGAACCCACCCAUAAAAAAAAUCAGCCCAUCACUCCAUCUAAGCCCUAGCCCAACUCAAACCCAACCCCAAAGCCCAACCCUACACUCCACCCCCUUUUCUCCCCCCCCCUCAGCCGCUCACACACACACGUAACAAUCACAGCAGCACCCUCCUCUCCCUCUCUCGGCUCCCUCUUCCCUCAUCUCUCGCUCCCUUCUCUCUCAGCCAUCAGUCCCGCCACCGCGCAUCCUUCCGGCGAGGCAGCCGUCGACCGGCAGCCGCAUCAACCGAAAAGACCAGCCGCCUCCCUCGGCCCCUCUCUCUUCGGCUGGUAACAGCCGCCCACCGUGGAGCUCGCCGGAGGAGCAGCAGCGACGAGCUGCCGCCACCAGCUCUCUCUCUCUGACAGUGGUCGAGCGACAGCAGCCAAGGCCGCCGAGCUCUACCUCCCUCCGCUGAACUUUGGCCGACGGCAGCAGCUUCAUGCCGCCACCAUCGCCGCCCUCUUAUCUCCCUCGGAAUUGUCUCUAUGACUCCCGCCGACGAGCAGCAGCCGGAGCCGCCCGCCGGAGCCCUAACCUCCACCCAGACCAGCUCCGACCAGCCACAUGAACUCUCCCUCGUCCGUGGCCGGACGACAGCAACAACAAGGCUGCCGCGCCCUGGCCUCCCUCUUCCACUCUCGCCGAUCUCUCGACCCCAGCAGCAGCCUCUCGAACUUCACACACACACACACCAUCACACACAAAAGCAUCUUAUGAAAGAAAAAUACUUUGAUAGCUCAAGUGCUGAAAAUUUCUUUUGUGUAUAUGUAUGUAAAGAUUAUACUUGAAGUAAAAUUUUGUCAUAUGGUCAGUACAUAAAAGUUCAUGUGUCUCUGGUAUGAGGGAUGACUCUUAGUGUAUAUAUGAUGCUGGAUUAUCGAUUACCUCCGUGAAAGCAGACUGGUUUUCUCCAAUUUACGGAUGAGAGAGGAUUUCAGAUGAAGCUAUUGCCUGUUGAUUAGAGUUGUUAUGUGUGGGUUGUGUCUGCUUGGAUUAUCAUAGAUGAAAUCAAUGCAGGCUUUCUGUAAAAAUACAGAAGCAGAAACCUUCCGUGAAAGAAGAAAAAUGAUGAGCUUGUUGUUGAAAAGCUAAUUGAAGAAGGGAAAAGCUCCACGGUGAGAGGUUUGUGUGAAAGAUUUGGCUGAUUUGCUAAGUGGAAUUUUGACAGCAUAAAAACAAAAGAAAGUGGAAACAAAAGAGAGUGGACAACUAAAGCAAAAGAAUUUGAUAAGAUAUAAGAUGAUUUGAUAAGAUAUGAGAGGAUUUAAUUGUGACAUGUAUGAAAAAAAUAAUCAUGAUAUAGGGUGGCUAUUAGGAACAUAAAAUACCGGGACUGUAAUAAUACUUCAGGGUUCGCUAAAUAAAU
rnacentral:lncRNA from 1 species